UAACCCUCGCCAUCCUCCUGCAGGAGAGCAUCCCCUUCGCUGUCAUCGGCAGCAACACGGUCGUGGAGGCCAAGGGCCGGCGCGUCCGCGGGCGCCUCUACCCCUGGGGCAUCGUGGAAGGUAACGGCAUGGGGGGACCUGUCCCUGCAGGGACGGGGACACAGAGUCAUAGAAUCAUAGAAUAUCCCGAGUUGGAAUGGACCCGUAAGGAUCAUCAAGUCCAACUCCUGGCACCGCACAGUGGAGAACCCGUCCCACUGCGACUUCGUGAAGCUGCGCACCAUGCUGGUGAGGACACACAUGCAGGACCUGAAGGACGUGACGCGGGAGACCCACUACGAGAACUACCGCACGCAGUGCAUCCAGAGCAUGACCCGCAUGGUGGUGAAGGAGAGGAACCGCAACAAACUGACGCGGGAGAGCGGGACAGAUUUCCCCAUCCCUGUCAUCCCCCCGGUGCCCGAUUCGGAGACGGAGAAGCUCAUCCGGGAGAAGGACGAGGAGCUGCGGCGCAUGCAGGAGAUGCUGCAGAAGAUCCAGAAGCAGAUGAAGGACUCCCACUAGCCCCCUCCUCCUCGUCCUCCGGCCGUGUGCCACGCGGAUCAGAGAUGUUUACAUCACGCUCCAUCCCAGCCAAGCUGCGAGACUCGCUGUGAUAAAGGUUUGGGAUGCUGCAUCUGAACCAACGGAUGCUGGUGAUGAGUCUGGUUGCCUCUGUAAGUUCCUCUCCAGACCUGGUGGUUUCGGUAGCUGCAGCGUGCCGUCAUGCCCCAGAACCGCCUCACACUCCUCAGGGCGGGACACAGCCCCAGUUCUCCAGAAAAUGAAGAAGUGUUCAACAUGUUCUGUGGUUUCUCUCUUUCUCACAUCCAGAAUAGAAAAACCAGAGCAAGAGCUUGAAACUUUUUCCUCAGCACUGAACCCAGCUGAAGGAAGGCCCUGGCCUAGCUGAGCGGUAUGGCUCUGCCCCUCACCAGACGCCUUUUGAAGGCUGAAGAGGAGGGAGAGGAAAUGUGUCAGGCUAUGGGAGAUCUUCUCCAGAGCUUUCCAGUGCUCUUUCCUGCUCCUUUGUGCAUCAGGACUGAGUGCAAGGGACAAAGCACCAUCACUGUGCUCUAAAAAGCCACCCUUCACUUUUUACAAAACACUUACAGUUUGCUCCUCUCCUCCUCAGCUUCCAGGCUACCAGAUCACCUGGAACCGGGACAUUCCUCAUUGUUCAGUACCUCGUUUUGGGUCUUGGGUUCAGUGGUAUAACCACCAAGAGGGGCAUUUCUCAGCUGCCUGAGGCUUUGGCAGAUGCCCGUGGGCUCAUCGCCUCUUGUCCUGGUGUUUCUGGCAAGGGCAGAGGUGGAAGCCUUUGCUUCCUCCUGCAGCACCCAUUUAAUAGGUGUACACCUAUUUCUGGGGGAGCUACGACUGGGGGGGGUGGAGGGGGAAGUUCCUUCAGGAGGACC
rnacentral:lncRNA from 1 species